GGGACCCGCACAAGCAGUGGAGCAUGUGGUUUAAUUCGAAGAUACGCGCAGAACCUUACCAACACUUGACAUGUUCGUCGCGAGACUAAGAGAUUAGUCUUUUCAGUUUGGCUGGACGAAACACAGGUGCUGCAUGGCUGUCGUCAGCUCGUGUCGUGAGAUGUUGGGUUAAGUCCCGCAACGAGCGCAACCCCCUACUUUUAGUUGCCACCAUUUAGUUGGGCACUUUAAAAGAACUGCCAGUGAUAAGCUGGAGGAAGGUGGGGAUGACGUCAAGUCCUCAUGGCCCUUAUGUGUUGGGCUACACACGUGCUACAAUGGUACUUACAAUGGGAUGCAAAGAGGCGACUCUAAGCCAAUCCCUAAAAUGUACCUCAGUUCGGAUUGUACUCUGUAACUCGAGUGCAUGAAGCUGGAAUUGCUAGUAAUCG
rnacentral:rRNA from 1 species